rnacentral:rRNA from 1 species
GACGAACGCUGGCGGCGUGCCUAAUACAUGCAAGUUGAGCGCUGAAGGUUGGUACUUGUACCGACUGGAUGAGCAGCGAACGGGUGAGUAACGCGUGGGGAAUCUGCCUUUGAGCGGGGGACAACAUUUGGACACGAAUGCUAAGACCGCAUAAAAACUUUAAACACAAGUUUUAAGUUUGAAAGAUGCAAUUGCAUCACUCAAAGAUGAUCCCGCGUUGUAUUGGCUAGUUGGUGAGGUAAAGGCUCACCAAGGCGAUGAUACAUAGCCGACCUGAGAGGGUGAUCGGCCGCAUUGGGACUGAGACACGGCCCAAACUCCUACGGGAGGCAGCAGUAGGGAAUCGUGGGCAAUGGACGAAAGUCGGACCGCGCAACGACGCGUGAGUGAAGAAGGAUUUCGGAUCGUAAAACGCAGUCGGUAGAGAAGAGCGUUGGUGAGAGUGGGAAGCUCAUCAAGUGACGGUAACUGCACAGAAAGGGACGGCUAACUACGUG